UGGGGAAUAUUGCACAAUGGGCGCAAGCCUGAUGCAGCCAUGCCGCGCGUAUGAAGAAGGCCUUCGGGUUGUAAAGUACUUUCAGCGGGGAGGAAGGGAGUAAAGUUAAUACCUUUGCUCAUUGACGUUACCCGCAGAAGAAGCACCGGCUAACUCCGUGCCAGCAGCCGCGGUAAUACGGAGGGUGCAAGCGUUAAUCGGAAUUACUGGGCGUAAAGCGCACGCAGGCGGUUUGUUAAGUCAGAUGUGAAAUCCCCGGGCUCAACCUGGGAACUGCAUCUGAUACUGGCAAGCUUGAGUCUCGUAGAGGGGGGUAGAAUUCCAGGUGUAGCGGUGAAAUGCGUAGAGAUCUGGAGGAAUACCGGUGGCGAAGGCGGCCCCCUGGACGAAGACUGACGCUCAGGUGCGAAAGCGUGGGGAGCAAACAGG
rnacentral:rRNA from 1 species